AAGAAAAAGCAGAAGCACCCGCUUCUCGCCUAGGUGAUCAGUGUUGCCGGGCUGACGAGAUGAAAUAAGAACAAAUCUUAUUGUUCAUUAUUGGCGGGGUGCGUAUGCACUCCGCUUUUUUUGCUGGAU
rfam:Lactobacillus frumenti DSM 13145 NODE_25, whole genome shotgun sequence.